UAACAGGUUUUGGUGCAAUUUUUGGUGAACAACAAUCAGGAGAUGUUGGAAAUUUUGGUGUGGACCUGUUUUUUCAGAUGCUCUUCGAAAGCUUGUCGAAGGUUAGAUGAUAAACAAUUGCUUUAAACGAGCGUUCUCCUUGGUGUUCUCCCAUAGGAGAGGCUUGCUGCAAUUGAAGAAUAUAGUGAACUUGUUCAAGGCUUCCAAAUGGCUAAGAAAGACAUGGGUGUAAGAGGUUUUGGUGCAAUUUUUGGUGAACAACAAUAAGGAUAUGUUGGAAAUUUUGGUGUUGACCUGUUUUUUCACAUGCUCUUUAAAAGCUUGGCCAAGGUAAGCUUUUAUUUGUGAGGUGUAUUUUGGUAUGUAGCAUCGAUCCUACAAUUUUAGUUAAAAUAGAAGAAUUCUUGAUGAUAUGCAUGUUUGUUUGUGACUUAUUUUAUAUUAUAAUGAAAUGAAAAAAGUUAGAAGUUUGGUAAUUAUUUUAUAUUAUAAUUAAAUGGAAAAAGUUAGCAUUUAUUGCGAAUGAUGAUCAUCGAUGAUGUCUCAAGUUAAGGAGUUUGAUGAGUUAAUAUUUUCUCACUUUGCAUAGCUUAUUGUACUACAUUUAAUUAUAGAAUUAUGUUUAAAUAUCUAAUAUUUUUAGAUUUAAUUAUGGAAUUAUGCUUAAAUAUCCAAUAUUUUUAGUUUUUUUAUUUGUGUUUAAUUUAACUAAUAAUUCUUAUUUUGAAUUAUUAUUUUUAGGUCAAUAUUAAGAAAUGUAUUUUGGGACAUUAAAAGAGCUCUCACGUCAUUUUCUACUCUCCACAUAAGUAUUUUAGUUUAAAUUAAAUUGUAAAUGUGUUUUAGGAGUUUUGGGUCCAUUUUUGGGCCAAAUUGGAAGGGCACAAUUUUGGGGGUUGGCCUAGUUUAGUGUGCCCAUGUAGCAGUCACCCUUUAGCUCCUUCAUUCUUCACAUUUACGUUUUUGCUGGGACAGAGGAGAGCUCUCCCAUUAGGUUCUCCUUUUGCUUCUAUGUAUUGAACACGAUUUAUAUUUCCAUUGCAAUUCAAAUUUCGAGUUCGUUUA